rnacentral:lncRNA from 1 species
GUCACAUUUAUAAAUUUAGUCGCAAAUCACAAUUUUUUUCAAGUCAUAUAUUAUUUUUUGAUCGCGUUUUAUCUAUUUUAUUGGUGACAAUUACCUAAAUAAUUGGUCAAAAAUGCUCUUCAUCCUACCCACAACCAUUGACAUCAUUCAAAUGUCGUUGCAACCUCACGAUCACCACCACUGUUGUAUCAGCAUCUCACCAUCACCUGGGAGAUCUGUAUAUCGUACCAUCACCAUAUGGAUUUGUACAUCCAUAGCACCAUCACCACGCAGAUUCACAACCCAUCAUUACACAAACAACACUAAACUAAUGUUAUGUGGGUAAUAAUUGAGCAAAGAGAAGAAUUAGAUCAACCAAAGAAAGGGAGAAGAAACAACAAUGGGAAAAAGGAAUCAGCAAAACCAGAAAUAGAGGAAGAAGAAGGCAACGGACUUAGCUGAUUUCGAAUUCAAAAAGGGUGUCGUGGUAACUUAUCAAAACGGGGUCAUUUUACUUUAAUUAAUUGUAAUAAGCUAGAAACGUUUUUACAUUUUACCGGUUGAAAACAUGCUUCUUACUGGUAGCAUAUCUAUCUCCAUGUGAGAAGGAGAAAUCAGCUUUUGUAAUAUGAUCAUUUCAAUAAAAUUUGUUGAAACCAUUCAACAGCUUUUCUCAUCUCCUUCUUCUGAUUUUCUCUUUUGCCCUCUCCCAAUUCUAUUUUCAUUUCAAUUUGGUUAUCAUUUCAGUUGAUUAUUGCUGGAACAUUCCGUUGUUGAAGUUACUGUUGCAGUGAUAAUCAAAAUUGAGUUCUAAUCGUGACAAAUUGGUAUCAAAGCGGGUGUACACUACUAGGCAAUUGCUAAUCAUGGAUACUAGAGCCAAAAUUGUAGACGAGCGCUUGAAGAAAUUGGAUUUGAAGAUGGCUGAUCUAGGAACUUCUUUUAAAGCUGUUACCAGCAGGUUGUAGAACAAGUUAGCUGCUACAAAUGAAACAACACAGGUAAUGGGUCGUAGACAAGAGAAAAUUGAAAAUAAUGUAUUAGAAAUAAACCAAAAGUAUGAAAAACUAGUGGCCAUGUUGGCCCAGAUAUCUUCGGAUCUUAAAUUGGAACAGAAGAACAAAAAGGUGGAGGAAUCUGUGGUUGAUGGGAGAACUGGAGUGGUGAUUUUUACACUAGGAGCUAGUAACACUGGUGGUAGUACAAUUACUAAAGGCAAGUAUAAUGGAAACAACAAGUUUCCUAAGAUUGAUUUUCUCCACUUUGGAAGAGAACGACCCAGGGAAUGGCUUAGGAAGGCAAGGAAAUACUUUCAGAUACACUAAGUGCCUGAUGAACUUAGACUAGGGAUUGCUGAAAUGUAUUUGAAAGGCAAGGCUGCAUAUGGUUUGAUAGGUUCAUUGCCAGCCAUCCAGGGGCAGAUUGGGGUGUGUUCUCUGAUAUGUUAUGCAAAAGAUUUGCAGAGACCACUGGUCGAGACCUUUACCGGGCUUCCGUUUGUUUGGUGAGAAACUCCUAGGUUUGAGGAAUUGAAGGCCCAAGUAAUGAUGGCACUGCCCCAUGUUCCAGAAUCCUACUAUAUAUCUGUGAUUACUAGUGGAUUGAGAGGGAAAAUUAGAUCCAUGGUUAAGAUGAUGAAAUCAAAUACCUUAGCCAAAGCAUUUGAAGUGGCUAGCUUGCAGGAUUCCACCAUCCAAGCUAUUAACAAAUUCCAAAAACCUAGGAGUUUCUCACCAAACAAACGGAACCCCUACGCUUCCAAAACUCCUGAAGAAACCAAAGAUAAAGAACCAUGGCAAAAAAUCAGUAAACCACCAGAUAACUACAAACCCAUCACCCCUACUGACUUUCAAACUAAAAAGAACUUGAGACUCUAUUACAAAUGUGAUGAGAAGUACACCAUACGCCAUGUGUGCAAGAAUAGGUCCCUGAACUUGAUAUUAGUAGAUGAAGAUGAAGAAAAUGAACCAAAGGGGGACGAGGAAUCAAAAUCAGAAGGUGAAGAAAUCAUGGAGAUUUAAAUCAAUGCCUUAACUGGAAAGUGGAAACAUAAGACAAUUAGAGUGCCACGAGUAGUUAAAGGAAGAAAAGUAUCCAUAUUGAUUGAUAAUGAUGGCAACGGGACGGGUUCAGGUUCGAGUUAGGGCGGGUCGUGGCAACUUUUUGCCCCGUUUAAUUUUUUUUAUUUUUUAUUUUUAAUUAUUUAAAAAAAAUUUCACAUUUUCAAAGUUUCAAGUUAUUUAUUAUUAGAGAAUAAAAUGAAAAUUCAAAAUAGAUUUUUAACUGGUGAAUUGUUUAGAAAUAAAAUUAUUUUUAAUUUUUUUUCCUUCACAGUGCAGGUUCGGGGACGGGGCAUCCUCGCCCUGCCCUGCCCCACCAACCCGUUCGGGGCGGAGCGGGUUUUAUUGCCAUCCCUACUGAUUGACAAUGGAAGCACUCACGGUUUUGUGGAUGAGGAAUUAGCCAAAGUAUUGAACUAUGUUGCUGAUGGAACUAGUAAGGUAUCAGUGAGAGCGGCCAAUGGGGAUAAAUUAAAGAGUACAGCAUUAUGCCAACCUGUGGUAUGGAAGGUAUAAGACUAGGAGUUUCAGUUUAAACUCCUUAAAUUAGCAGGGAAUGACAUGGUAUUGGAGUAGAUUGGAUGAGCCAGUUUGGUCCAAUUACCUUUGAUUUCAUACAAGGGUGUGUCUAGUUCGAGAGCAAUGAUGAAGUGAUAAAAUUGAGUGAAGUUUCUAAAGAUCCUAUCAAAUUAAUGGAGACGGAGAGAAAAUGAUUGAUAAGGAGCCUUAUGGGACAGUAUGACAAUUGUACCACAUCAAGGACGAACAAACUAUGGGUAUACCUGGCCAGAUUUUAGAGGUCAUACACAAAUUUCCUAGAGAAUUUGAGGAUCCAACAGGGUUACCUUCCCCUAAAUCACAUAAUCAACAUAUUUCCCUAAAAGAAAGGGCCCAACCAUUUAAGAUCAGACCGGCAAGAGCACGGACAAAGCCAUAUGCAGAUAAAAAAAAAUAUCAAAGAGGUGUUUUGAAGAAGGGGAUGGAGUCUUCCUCAAACUUCAUCCCUAUACACAACAAUCAAUGGAACUCAAACCUGACAACAAAUUAAGGGCUAGAUACUGUGGUCCAUAUUGGAUUGUUAAGAAGAUAGGGGCAAUGGCCUACCAAUUGGUAUUACCAGAAGGUUUGAAAAUUCAACAAGUUUUUCAUGUAUCAUUGUUAAAGACGAAGGUUGGGGAAAAAUAUGUCGGUGCUACAACUACUUGAAAGCAGUCAACCUAAGCAGACAGAAUUAUCCGUGAUCCAUUUUGCAGUCCAGGUGGAUGAAAAGAAAGAAUAAUGUGGCAGCACAAUGGUUGAUCCAUUGGUCUAUCUUCUACCUGACAACGCUACUUGGGAAGAUGCCAAAUGGGUUAAAGCUAAAUUUCCUAGCUGUAGAUCUUGGGGACAAGAUCAAGGUGAGAGGGUGGAUUGUUAUGUGGUAAUAAUUGGGGAAAGAGAAAAAUCAGGUCAACCAAAGAAAGGGAGAAGAAACAACAAUGGGAGAAAGAAAUCAACAAAACUAGAAAUGGAGGAAUAAGGCAACAGACUUAGCUGAUUUCGAAUUCAAAAACGAUAUUGAGGCUACUUAUCAAAACGAUGUCAUUUUACUUUGAUUAAUUGUAAUAAGCUAGAAACAUUUUCACAUUUUAUCAGUUGAAAACACACUUUUUACUGGUAGUAUAUCUACCUCCAUGUGUAAAGGAG